GGAGGAGAACCUGAAGACGGUGCUGAUGAACCUGACCAGUGCCUCGGUGCAGACUAACAAUGUGGGAACCAAGCAGGCAGACACAGUCUACUUCUUGGCCAUAACACCCCAAUUGGUGACGGAGGUGGUCAAAGCUGAGAGUCCGGAUGGCAUCCUGCUCUCCAUCGGCGGACAAAUGGCACUCAACUGUGAUUUACCAAUUGAAAACAAUUUUACAAAGAUGAGUUUCAGUUCCAACAGUUUUUAUUGGUUAAUUAAUCAACCGGAAGACACCCUUCACCCUUUGAUCUUGUCAUCUGAUGACACAGCUCGUUACCUGAGAUGGAAUUUUUUUUUAGCAUGAUGAGCAAGUUGAGGAAAACCCGGAUGCUAUCAUCACAUGUAAGUAUGGUGGAAAGAUCAUGGACAUUGUUUUUACUUUUCAAAUUCACCGAUAUUUCAUGAUAUCCUUGUCGAAACCUACUUUGUUUCUUACUCUUUCAUUUGACAGUUGGAAUUUUGUAUCUUAUCACACAUUUGAGAAGUCAUGUGGGGUGUUGAUCAUCGUGAUCACUUUCACCGGUGUCCACCAUUAUCGACACCCUGUGGAAUUAAGUGACAUUUACAACUGUUAUGGAUCGAUCUUUGUGUAGCAUUGUUGAAGCAGAUGAAGUACUUUAAAAAAAUAUAAGUGCUGUGAUUUAUCAUAAUUUUUUCCUGAUUCAUAACAGAAUGGAAUGCUUAGAGAGUAUUUGGAAUCCGAUUGAAAUAAAUAGAAUUAGACCAAAAUCAAAUUCCUAGCAUAUAUAUAUUUAUAUAUGUAUUAUAAAUUACAUGCUUGAAAUAUUCAGGUUUUUCUAUUCCAUUUUGAUAUUUUUUUUUGCAGUUUGUUGUAAAUAUCUACCAUAUAUUACAAUAUCAGACAUUUUAUAUUUUUAGAUAUAGAAAUAUAAAGUUUUGGUUCGAGAACUGACAUGCGACCUUUUACCUGGAUUUUCAUGUGGUUAUAAUAUCAAUUGCCUUUUGACAUUCAUUGGUAAACUACAAACCUAGAAAUUAAUGCAAACAACAGUGAGUGAUUUAACAAAAUGUGAUGUACAAAAAUACUUAGAUAGUGGGUAGAAAGUGGAACAAAAAGAUUUUCUGACACAAGUUAAACAUUAGUUCAUUUGUUUACAAACGUUCGGAUUACUUCCUCAUUUACCUAAGCACUGACUUCGAUAUAUUUAUAUAAAACAUAUUUUGGACUUAAUACAAGUCUAUAUAAAAAAAAUAAAUAAAAACUGUUUUGUUAACUUAAUUCCACAUACCAUUUAAAAAAAUCAUUCUCAUCUCGAUGUCAAUAAUUGUGGAAUGGUGUCACAUCAUCUGACAGGCUAAGUAAUCAUGAAUCAACUUAUUUUUUUUCCAGUGUAAGUUUGAGUGAAUAUUCAUGCACAAUUUAUGUAUUGAAAGUCUCUUCUACUUUUGCAAUGGCCAAAAGAUCAUUAAGGUGUCGAUGAUUGUAGCCGCAGCUCUAGAUACUUAAACUUACGACCUACGAUACCCUGUGGUAUGAGUGGUGCUGUUUCAGAUUGGCAUGCUGCAGCAGUACGGUGUGAAGGUUUUGGGCACACCUGUAGAGUCCAUCAUCGCCACAGAGGACAGACAGCUGUUUGCUGACAAGCUGAAGGAGAUCGAUGAGAGGCUCGCCCCCAGUGUGGCUGUGGAGUCGGUUCUGUGGGCCAUUUUGAGGAUCAGGACAGAGGCUCAGUGGUGCGAGCACUGGUCUAGUAAACCAGGGGUUGUGAGUUCAAUCCUCAAUGGGGGCCUGUAAGGGGUAUUUUGAAGGUGGGAAGAUGAUCCAGAUAAAAGAAAGUACAGUAUAUUGAGGACACUGCCCUCUGAAAGUUGCUUGUGAUUUCUCAUCACCUGAAGACCACUUUCUGCUGGUGAGAAUGGCCCCGUCUGGACAGUUUGAUGAUCAGUGAGAUCACUGUGGAUGAGACUGAGGACCUGAAGGUAUCUUUGGUGUGCAAUUUCUGCAAAGCACUUUGCACUCAAGUCUCCAUCAAUGCACAUAGUCAGGUGGUGUUUGUUUAUAUUUGGAGGCUAUUUUGCAAAAUUUACCAAGUCUUGUUUUUGGUAAUAAUAUACAAGUUCAGAUAUAAAUUCAUAAAUCUGGACUUCUUGUAAUGUUUGUAGGCUGCUGUUUCAUAGUUAAUUAUGCAGGGGAUCGUUGUGCAUAAAAAGAGCCCUGAAACCACAUAUAGGAAAUUGGUAUAAAAGUAUUACAUCAUUAAUAUGCAAUUAUUAUAUCCAUAAUAGGUGUCAUUUGUGGCACACAACCUUUUUACUCAGGUCAAAAGCAGGGUUCAUACAUUAGAUACCCAUUUAACCCUAAAAGGGCCUAAACUACUGAGUGGGAUCAGUUAGAACCUCAGAGGUGGUGUGCUGCUCAGUCUAUUCAACUGACAUAACUUUUUGCUUUUCGGAGUUUGUUACUCUAUAGAUUCUUUAUCUAAAAGUAUGUUUGUUUCAAAAUUGAUGAAAAAAAGUGUUUAACAAGGUGACUGAUUUUCUGUUGGGGUCCCAUAACUCUGAGAUUUGUUGCAAAAAUAUUUCAGCAAGUUAGUCGCUUCUUUGUGUGUCUAUCUUUGCCGAUCUGUAUGUUUGCAUGCUUGUCUCAGAUAUCUGCCAUAAUUAAGAAUAUAACUCUUUCUUACAAAUUGUAGAUAACUAGUGAACCUGUUAGUUAUAGAGUUACUGAAAGGUCUGAUGUCUGAUGCUUAUCUGUCCGUGCACUCUCCAUACAGAACAACAGACAGUCCAGCAGAUACAGAGGAAACUGGCAUUGUCUAGUUCUGAAAGUGACAUUGUUUACUUUUGAAAAUAGUCCAGUGGCUGUUCUGGUCCUAAUAUGUGUUACCAAUAACUGCUUUUAUCUUCAUGUUUUGUGCUUGAAUCCUUAGGCAAAGUGUUAUUUCUUGAUGUAGUUUGGACAUUUUAAAAAAAAACUGCUAGAAGCUUAGUAAUAAAUGUAUCACAGAAAUUUCUAAAAUGAGAGAUUGUGAGCUGAGUUCUGGAAUGUAGAUAAGCUAUAAAUAUUCUCAAGUUCUGUAGCAAUAGUGUAAAAUGCUUCUGGCUUUUUUAUGUUCUCUAUGUACUUAAAUGUCUCAUUUUAAAUGUAACUUGAUAAUAUCAUGUAAAUAUAUGAUUUCUAUUCAUAUAAAGUUCAUAAAUGGGUAAUUAAAAAAAAUACAGAUGUUAUAAUGGACUUCAGUGAUACAGAUAUAUGUUUUUUUUAAUGUUUUUACAUGCGAUACUUAGCAUUUCCUUUUUUGGUGAAAAUGGUGAUUGCUGACAUUACAACAAGUAAAAAUAAUUUGUUUGGGAUGUAAAUAAAGGGUUAAUACUGAGAAACCAGACUUAGGAAAUUUUGCAAAGUAGGUUACAUAUGCUCCCUGACUAUAAAGUUGAUACGUCAACAACAAAAAAGACCUUGCUAUGGAAUUUGUCUCACAUACAAAGAUAAUUUAAUUAUAGCCCUGGUUGAACAGAGCAAAAUCAGUAAAGCCAUAGAGAUUUUCUGAAGAAAGCAAAAGUAACAUGAACCUGCUUUCCUCCACACAUCUCAUGCAACCAUCUCAAACGUUGACACUUUAUUUUGGCCUGUUGGUCUAGGGCAGGGGUGGGAAACCUUUUUACUAUCAAGGGCCAUUUUGAGUUUUAUAACAUCCUGUGGGGGCCAAACUAAAUUUUUUAACCCAUAACCUCUGCUGAAAAUUUUAAGAUGCAGCCCAUUUAUUUUAGCUUUCUUUCAUGCUAUUCAAAUAAAGCAACUUUAUUGGUGUAACUUUCUGUUUUAAUCUUCCCAUUUUCUUUUUAAAUUUUAUCCACCUCUUAUUGUUUUAAUGUUCUGUUUUUAGUCUUGUAUUCUUAUUGAUUUUAUAUGUACUGAUGUAAAGCACUUUGAGCAUUUUAUGUAAUGAAGAAGCUACAAUAUAUAAUAUUUUACCAAAUUGUAUUAUUAUAUCUGGCCGACCUAAUGUGAAGGCUGGAACUGUUUCUCUUUGGCGAGGCAUCUGAUGUCAGAUGGUAGAGAUGACGAUGCUACUCGCAGCUGGUUUUCCAGGUUUGGGUCAGUCAGUCUUGAGCGGAACCGAUUCUUUGCAAGGGUCAGUUCUGAGAAGAACUGCUCACAGCAGUAGGCUGUCCCAAACCAUGAUGUAAAGCAGAGGAAGGUUGUUGUACCUAGCUUUGAGCUCAUUGUUGCUUUGCAGCUCAGUGAUUUCGUGCUGUAGGUUGUCAGGCACAUCAGCUGGUUCCACAUUGAAUGGUGUUGCAAAUAAACAAAACAAAACAGGAUACAGAGAACAUACAAACUCACUAUUCAUAAAAUCACACAUGUUGAAAUUUAUGGAUCUGGUCAAAUUCAGAACAGCACAAAUAAUGUACAAAGCAAGAAAUAAUCUAUUGCCGAAAAAUAUACAAGAAAUGUUUAGUGAGAGAGAGGGGGGAUAUAAUCUAAGGGGAGACCUAAAUUUUAAAAAACCAAAGGUUAGAACAAAUAUGAAAAGCAUGUGCGUAUCGAGCUGUGGGGUGACUUUAUGGAACAGACUGGAGACAGAAAUAAAACAAAGUGCAAAUAUAAAUCUGUUUAAAAAAAGGUACAAAAAAUAUUUUUGAAUAAGUAUAUAGAAGAGGAAGUAUGUUAAUGGAGGAUGAUGAGGGAUAAAUAGAAUAGGGUUGAUUGUUAUAUUAGAACUAACUUAGUAUAUGGUAUAUAUUUAUUAAUGGGAUAAAUAUCUUCAUAUUUACAGGGAUAGGUAUGUAG